rnacentral:rRNA from 1 species
UGACUGUAGCAGGUAAAGAAACCCCGGCUAACUCCGUGCCAACAGCCGCGGUAAUACUGAGGGGGUUAGCGUUGUUCGGAAUUACUGGGCGUAAAGCGCGCGUAGGCGGACUGGAAAGUUGGCGGUGAAAUCCCAGGGCUCAACCCUGGAACUGCCUCCAAAACUAUCAGUCUUGAGUUCGAGAGAGGUGAGUGGAAUUCCGAGUGUAGAGGUGAAAUUCGUAGAUAUUCGGAGGAACACCAUUGGCGAAGGCGGCUCACUGGCUCGAUACUGACGCUGAGGUGCGAAAGUGUGGGGAGCAAACAGGAUUAGAUACCCUGGUAGUCCACACCGUAAACGAUGAAUGCCAGUCGUCGGGGAGCAUGCUAUUCGGUGACACACCUAACGGAUUAAGCAUUCCGCCUGGGGAGUACGGUCGCAAGAUUA